GACGAACGCUGGCGGCGCGCCUAACACAUGCAAGUCGAGCGAUGAACAUUGAAUGAUCCCUUCGGGGUGAUUUCGAUCGGAUUAGCGGCGAACGGGUGAGUAACGCGUGAGGAACCUGCCUCUUACAACGGGAUAGCCUCGGGAAACCGGGAUUAAUACCGUAUAAGACUCCGACAUCUCCUGAUGAUGAAGUCAAAGCGUUAGCGGUAAGAGAUGGCCUCGCGUCUGAUUAGCUUGUUGGCGGGGUAACGGCCCACCAAGGCGACGAUCAGUAACCGGCCUGAGAGGGUGAACGGUCACAUUGGAACUGAGACACGGUCCAAACUCCUACGGGAGGCAGCAGUGGGGAAUCUUGCACAAUGGGGGCAACCCUGAUGCAGCGACGCCGCGUGAGCGAUGAAGGUUUUCGAAUCGUAAAGCUCUGUCCUAUGGGAAGAUAAUGACGGUACCAUGGGAGGAAGCCCCGGCUAACUACGUGCCAGCAGCCGCGGUAAUACGUAGGGGGCGAGCGUUGUCCGGAAUUACUGGGCGUAAAGGGUUCGCAGGCGGCAUGGCAAGUCCGAUGUAAAAGGCGAAGGCUCAACCUUCGUAAGCAUCGGAAACUGUCAAGCUUGAGUGAAGGAGAGGCAAGUGGAAUUCCUAGUGUAGCGGUGGAAUGCGUAGAUAUUAGGAGGAAUACCGGUGGCGAAGGCGACUUGCUGGACUUCAACUGACGCUGAGGAACGAAAGCGUGGGUAGCAAACAGG
rnacentral:rRNA from 1 species